CCAAUAGCGUAUAUUAAAAUUGUUGCAGUUAAAAAGCUCGUAGUUGAAUUUCGGGGUUCUACCGUUGGUCGGGCAAUUGUCUGUACUGACGUGUGGAAUUUCUACCUUCUGGGGAACCAUCAUGUUAUUAAUUUAGCGUGGUGGGAAACCAGGACCUUUACCUUGAAAAUAUUAGAGUGUUCAAAGCAGGCUUACGUCUGAAUACAUUAGCAUGGAAUAAUAAAAUAGGACGGUGGUCCUGUUUUGUUGGUUUCUGAAUCACCGUAAUGAUUAAUAGGGAUAGUUGGGGGAAUUGGUAUUCAAUUGUCAGAGUUGAAAUUCUUGGAUUUAUUGAAGACUAACUUCUGCGAAAGCAUUUGCCAAGGAUGGUUUCAUUAAUCAAGAACGAAAGUUAGGGGAUCGAAGACGAUCAGAUACCGUCGUAGUCUUAACCAUAAACUAUGCCGACUAGGGAUCGGACGAUGUUAAUUUUUCUUGACUCGUUCGGCGCCUUACG
rnacentral:rRNA from 1 species